CCCAUCUGUUUGUACCAACACAUGGAUCUUGGGAAGGUGUUCGAUGGUGUUUAAGAUGUUUUCAAUAAGAAAAACCUGUCUGUGGGAUCAUGGGUCUAUCCAAAGCAAGUCCCGAGACCAGGCCAAGAGAUGGCUAGGGAGCGUUCUACUACUUGUGAAGAAAGACCUGGGGAGUUAAAGGUAAUUACUGAGUGUCUGUAGGAUGUCACACUGUGACGGCUGUGUGUUGCUGUGAUGCUGAAAGCUGCGCCAUCGGUAUUUCAAAUACCAGCAGGGUCACCUUGGACAGGUGUCAGCGAAGCUUCCAGACUAAGACAGACUAGGAAGAAGGACCUGGUCACCCACUUCUGAAAAAAGUUGGCCAUGAAAACCCUAUGAAUAGCAGCAGAGCAUUGUCGGAUAGAGCACCGGAAGGU
rnacentral:lncRNA from 1 species